ACAAUAUUUUAACUAUUAUUAAAAAUUGUUACUUGACAUAAUUAACAUGUUAAGAGGGUAUUCCCGCUUUUAGUGUCAAAAAAUAAUAACUCAAUUAUCUGACACUUUUUAAGUUUAAGUUUAAACUUUAAAAGACAGAACAAAUUAAAGGUAAGAGACUUGCAAGUUUUUAUUAAAGUAUAAAGUAUUCACAUUAAUUAUAACAAUAAUUUUGAGAAAUAUUGUUUGGUGAAAAACACAUUUCCUUUAAACGUAUUGUUGUAGCUACGACUACAACUACGAAAUAUCACUACAAAUUUUAAAAAUCUGUCAGUGUUUCGCAAGAAGUCCUGAGAUAUCUUUCGAAAAAAUCGUCUAAUGCUGAAACUGCAGACUUUGAAGCCUUGUGAUUCACCCUCCUAAUUCAAUACAGAUUCACAAAGAUAAUGAAAUGGUAACUUCCGCAAAUGCUUCCGAAUGACAAAACACUCGGAAGUAACCUUCUUUAAGACGGUGCAAAAAUGCAACACCUAGCAAAAGCAACCUCCUUUUAAAAUUACAAUAAUGCGACAUUUCGCAGAAAUAACAAAUGCGCAUGGCCACUGACGCACACAUUUGAUGUGGCAAUAAUGCUACGCUUGCAGACCAGCGCCUAUUAAAACCUUCCGCCAAUAAAACCAGCGGAGACAACCAGAGAGAAACGAAAUACGUGCAAUUAACCCUAGAAUGACUUAUCAAAGUAAUUUUGUUGCCCAACGCGAAUUUGAUUUUAUCUCCUAAUUUAAUAGAUGAAGGGAUCGACUCGGGACACCGACCUUAAUUUAUUAUAAUUUAAAGUCUUAAGAAUCAAGAAAGACUAGCUGGCAUCAAAACGUUAUUAACUUCCGAGCAGUAUGAAUAUAAAGUAAAAAUAGGGUACGCUUAUACCCCAAUCUAAUGUUUGUGACAAACCGCGUCUUUGUUCCCCAAUCUAAGAUACUACAAAAUCUGUGGUCGAUGCCGACGCCGCAAGAUCUAUAGCUGAUACCGAUGCCGUUAGAUCUGAGUCGAUGUCAACGCCGCAAGAUAUGUCAGCCAAUAUUACAAUUACUUUUACAAAUAAUCGCCGCUUAGACUCUACAUGUUUACAUUUCGUUCGGACGGGCACUCGCUGUAGAAAGAUUGAUACAACAUUCCUGUGUGUGAAAACCAUCGGAUAAUACAAAGUGGCAAGCGUCGCUUAAAGUCAUAAAAUAUUUUAAAAUUUUUAAUUUAAAAACAUAUUCUAUAUUUAAAAAAGAAACAUUUUUUACAAUUUUAUACCAAAAUAAAAAAUUUAUUGUUUUUAUUCAUUUCUUAUUUCUCUUCAACAUAUCGCUUUUUACAACUUUUAUCCAUCAAAAUAGUUAUACUAUUUAAACAUACCUAAAGUCCAUUUUAUCCCAAUUCUAGAUCUAUUUUUUACCUUUCCAAAACUGUUCGGCUUUUGAAAUCUGUUAAAAAUUUACGAAAAUACGAUAAAUUUUCAAUAAGAAUUUUGCGAUUUUUUUUAACCUUAUUUUGUUUAAAUUAAUGUUUCACGUGUUAGAAGAUAAUUAAUAUUAUUGCAGAUUACACCAUCAUCUUCGUCAUAAAAAGAUGAAGAAAUUCAUAUAGCACAACAUUAAUUUUAUUUGUUCCAUGCAGCACGUUUUGGAACGAAUGGGGUACAUUCUUAACAUAGUAAAACUUUUGAGAUCGAAAAAUAUAAAUAUACCGUUCUAGGGUUAACAUACUCGCCCGAUGCUUCGCCUGUAACAUGACCCGACCCAGAGUGAUAAUUGUAACGCGGCGUGAUACCAACAUAAAUGUACGACUACAGAGAAUAAAGUAUUGAAGUGU
rnacentral:lncRNA from 1 species